rnacentral:rRNA from 1 species
CCGACGGUGAGGGAUGAAAGCUGGGGGAGCAAACCGGAUUAGAUACCCGGGUAGUCCCAGCCGUAAACGAUGUGCGUUAGGUGUAUCGGUGACCACGAGUCACCGAGGUGCCGAAGAGAAAUCGUGAAACGUACCGCCUGGGAAGUACGGUCGCAAGGCUGAAACUUAAAGGAAUUGGCGGGGGAGCACCACAACAGGUGGAGCCUGCGGUUUAAUCGGACUCAACGCCGGGAAACUCACCAGAUAAGACAGCUGAAUGAUAGUCGGGCUGAAGACUCUACUUGACUAGCUGAGAGGAGGUGUAUGGCCGUCGUCAGUUCGUACUGUGAAGCAUCCUGUUAAGUCAGGCAACGAGCGAGACCCACGCCAACAGUUGCU